AGUUAGACGCAGACAGUGAUCAGGGUGUUGAUGGUGACAAGAGAACAUUAAUCGGCGAUGCUGGUUCAGGAGCAAAGACAAAGGGAAAAGGAUAUGGAAAUAGAAAGGGGUCCAAAAAGGUGCUGUGCAUCUACGCCCCCGACAAUCUACGGUACUGCGUUAGCCAGUUAAAGGAGCUAUGAGUAUAGAUGCCUGAUGACAUCAUCUGCAUUUGGUCUAGCAUCUAAUUUUUAAACUACUUAAUAAAAUUGUUUGUGUCCAUUUC